rnacentral:rRNA from 1 species
AACGAACGCUGGCGGCGCGCCUAAUACAUGCAAGUCGAGCGAGAAGACGUAGCAAUACGUUUGUAAAGCGGCGAACGGGUGAGGAAUACAUGGGUAACCUACCCUCGAGUGGGGAAGUAACUAGCCGAAAGGUUAGCUAAUACCGCGUACGCUCCUUGGACUUCGGUUCAGGGAGGAAAGCGAUACCGUGGGUGUCGCGCUCUUGGAUGGGCUCAUGUCCUAUCAGCUUGUUGGUGAGGAACGGCUCACCAAGGCUUCGACGGGUAGCUGGUCUGAGAGGACGAUCAGCCACACUGGCACUGCGACACGGGCCAGACUCCUACGGGAGGCAGCAGUAAGGAAUAUUGCGCAAUGGGCGAAAGCCUGACGCAGCGACGCCGCGUGGGGGAGUGAAGG